AUAUUAUGGCUAGGGCUUCUUGUUUGCCGCAUGUCUGCCUUUGAUAAGAACAAUAGUGAGUUCACCGUUUAUAGCAUUAUGUAAUGUUGUUAAACAAGUUGUUUUUAUGUCCAUUUAAUCAAGAAUAAGGAUUGCUAGGUAGCUUUUAAGUCCUGAUUAAUUCCUAUACUGAUUUUAAUCUGUGCCACAUUUUAAAUCUGGAAUUGUCACAUAGCUAUGUUCAUAUCAGUAAUAAGAUUUUUAUAUUUCUAUUUUUGUCUGUUUUUUGUAAAACAAUAUCAGCCAUUGGCUUCUGUUUUGUAUUUGAUUUAAACUUAAAUAAUUCAGAGAUUCAGUUGAAACAAAUUCAGUUAUGAAUGCACUAAAUAAGCAUGGAAUCAGAAUACAUACUUCAGGAUCUUCGAAGAUACAGUAUAUACUCAGACUUCUUCAAUCCAGUCAAGAUGCACAAAGACAGCAAGAAGAUAAUGUUAAAGAAGGGAGUACUCUAUAUCACCUAAAUCUUCGAAACUCUACAUUGGACAGGAAAGGGAAUCAUCAUAAACGGUGAACAUUUAAAUCAUCUGAGAUUCGCAGAUGAUAUUGUAAUUAUAUCAAAAAACAUCAGUAACCUUGAGGUCACAAUGAUCCAAGAACUAGAUGUGGCCAGCAGACUAACUGGGUUAAAAACGAAUGAGAAAUACGAAAGUCAUGACAGGACUAACAACCGAUCCAAAAAAGAUUCAGGUGAGGGGAACUGAAAUAGAACAGGUAGAAGAGUAUAUAUAUCAUGGACAGCGCUUUGUGAACAAAGUCAAGACAACGAAAUAAGAAUUAAAGCAGGUUGGCAAGUUAUGGAAGAUACGGCUCCUUAUGAAAAGCAGGCAUCAACACAGCAUAACAUGGAAAGAUAUAUACUAAACAUUACUUAUAAAGACAGAAAAACAAAUGGAUUAGAGAACAGACACAAGUACAAGACAUUCUCAAAACCAUCAAGAGCAGAAAAUGGAACUGGGCUGGACACACCAGCCGUAGACAUGACGGGCGGUGGAGCUUGCUACUCGCAUACAUAUGAGAUAAAAUAGAAGUGAAAUGAUACCAAAGGGCACAAAAGAGACAUUAACUGGAGAAUACAUACAUAAGCUUUCAUUCUGCAGUGGAUAGAUAAUGCCUAAAAAAGUAAAGUAAAAUUGAUACAGCAACAGGUCUACUCAAGUUGAUGGUAUGCUGUUUAUAUAUAGCUGUGCCUCAUUUAACUGAAUAUAUAAGCAUGUAGUCAAGAAAAUGAAAGAUGAAAAUCAGCUUCUACUAAAGAAACCCAGAUUAAUGUGAAAUACGAUGAUCUUUUGAAAAUAUUGAGGUGUUUUAAAAACGCAAAAUUGUACCCGUCAGUGGAAAGUAAGAGUGAUCAGCAUAUAAAAGGCUAAAGUGAAGAAAAAUAUCACUAAAUGUUACCCAUAUGGGUAAAGCCUGGCACUCCCUGAUACGAUUCCAUGGAGAAUGCAACGCUACAACCCGCGUGCAACAGAUCAUAUUUAUUGACGAUCCGUUCAGACUGCCAGUGACAAUCAGCUGACGGUAUUGGCAUAGCCCGGCUUUAUAUGGGUCCCAGAGGCAACGAAACUAGGUUGAGGUGGUAUGGUAGUGCAUACAUGUAGUAUUUAGUUGUGCCUGGUUGUGUGUAGUAGCAUGACUGCAUAUAUAACAAAGCAUGAUAUUUAUAUGCUCUGUUCAGUUGUUUUGCUACCAUAACCAUAUUACCCUCAUCAUCAUGUCCAAAGUCAUAUUAUAGUAGGCAUUAAGCACUUGAAAAUUUGCUUGAGGAAGUUCAACAUUUAAUUUAUCACAAGAUAAACUUUCAAAUAUGUGGCAAAGACAGCCAAACCAAUCACUCAUCGCAAAUCAUGUUUCAGAGAUAAUGGCCAAAACAUGCUGAAAU
rnacentral:lncRNA from 1 species